AGAGUUUGAUCCUGGCUCAGGAUGAACGCUAGCGACAGGCUUAACACAUGCAAGUCGAGGGGCAGCGGGUAGAUGAGCUUGCUCAUUUAUGCCGGCGACCGGCGCACGGGUGAGUAACACGUAUGCAACCUGCCCUUUACAGCGGGAUAACCGGAAGAAAUUCCGCCUAAUACCGCAUACUCCCUUAGAAGGACAUCCUUUUGAGGGGAAAGAACUUCGGUAAAGGAUGGGCAUGCGGCGCAUUAGUUAGUUGGCGGUGUAACGGACCACCAAGACGACGAUGCGUAGGGGUUCUGAGAGGAAGGUCCCCCACACUGGUACUGAGACACGGACCAGACUCCUACGGGAGGCAGCAGUGAGGAAUAUUGGUCAAUGGCCGGGAGGCUGAACCAGCCAAGUCGCGUGAGGGAUGACGGUCCUAUGGAUUGUAAACCUCUUUUGUCAGGGAGCAAAGUCACCCACGUGUGGGUGUUGGAGAGUACCUGAAGAAAAAGCAUCGGCUAACUCCGUGCCAGCAGCCGCGGUAAUACGGAGGAUGCGAGCGUUAUCCGGAUUUAUUGGGUUUAAAGGGUGCGUAGGCGGUCCGGAAAGUCAGCGGUAAAAGCCCGGGGCUCAACCCCGGCGAGCCGUUGAAACUGUCGGACUAGAGACGGCGAGAAGUACGCGGAAUGCGCGGUGUAGCGGUGAAAUGCAUAGAUAUCGCGC
rnacentral:rRNA from 1 species